UGCACCCUGAGAGCUGGGGCAGGUCUCCCAUGGGACCUCAGUCUCUAACUCCGUGGAUGCAGG
rnacentral:miRNA from 1 species